AUACGUAGGUGGCAAGCGUUAUCCGGAAUUACUGGGCGUAAAGCGCGCGUAGGUGGUUCAGUCAGUCAGAUGUGAAAGCCCCGGGCUCAACCUGGGAACUGCACCUGAUACUGCUGAGCUAGAGUACGGUAGAGGGCAGUGGAAUUUCCGGUGUAGCGGUGAAAUGCGUAGAGAUCGGAAGGAACACCAGUGGCGAAGGCGACUGCCUGGACUGAUACUGACACUGAGGUGCGAAAGCGUGGGUAGCAAACAGGAUUAGAUACCCUGGUAGUCCACGCCGUAAACGAUGUCAACUAGCCGUUGGGGGACUUGAUCCUUUAGUGGCGAAGCUAACGCGAUAAGUUGACCGCCUGGGGAGUACGGCCGCAAGGUUAAAACUCAAAUGAAUUGGCGGGG
rnacentral:rRNA from 1 species